UGCCAGCCGCCGCGGUAAUACGGAGGGGGCGAGCGUUAUUCGGAAUUAUUGGGCGUAAAGGGCUCGCAGGCUGCUUGAACAGUUAGACGUAAAAUCCCCGGGCUCAACCUGGGAACUGCGUUUAAUACUAGCAAGCUAGAGAAAUAGAGAGGAAAGUGGAACUCCCAGUGUAGAGGUGAAAUUCGUAGAUAUUGGGAAGAACACCAGUGGCGAAAGCGAUUUUCUGGACUGAUAUUGACGCUGAGAUGCGAAGGCAUGGGUAGCAAACGGGAUUAGAUA
rnacentral:rRNA from 1 species